UUACCGUGAUGAUGAUGAUGACGAAGCAGUCGUUUGCGCGACACUAGUCUCCCCUCUUAAAUACACACACAUCUCGUACGGACAGCGCACAAGGCCCUUUAAGAAAGGCUGGCCGAAAACGACACSGUYGUCGCGCGUUUCGGGGUACCUGGCCGGCGCCGUCUAUGCGCCGGGGGAGCGGCGGASGAUGACUUCGUUUUGCUUCGUCUAUUGGUGAUCCGACGGUCACCGACCGCACGGCGACGGUUCAAAGAACUAGCCGACKGCUGUUGCUACUACUACGACGGCAGUCGGUCCGUCGCCCCGUACGCGUAUGUUUUUUCCGUCUUAUUUUCACUACAGUCGCUAUACKAAUCGUCUUCGACGUCGGCGUUCUCGAACGUCGGCGGCGACGACCGAGUUCUGUGACAGACAAAUAUCAUAAAACUCUAAGCGGUGGAUCACUCGGCUCGUGUGUCGAUGAAGAGCGCAGCCAGCUGCGUGAAGUAAUAAGAACAGCAGGACACAUCGAACAUCGAUAUCUUGACGCACAUUGCGGCCUCGGGCAUUCUCGAGGCCACGCCUGUCUCAGGGUCGGUUGAAAGUAUCUAUCGCGAGUCGUCGUCUCUUGCUCGCGCAGUGGACCGUCGCGGCAACGGCGCAACAACGUUCGGUCUUCUCUUGCCGUUCGUCGUCUAGCCUGCCGUCGCGUCGUCCGAAAUUCAGACGGUUCGCGUUGCGUCUUGCGCGACGCGAUACCGCACGUCUCGAUACCGCUUCGUCGAUGGAUUCAGCGGGACGGUUGCUCGGAUGCUCUCCUCAUCUUUUGCAGAGUUCUAAGAGCCGUUGUCGCUGCUGCUGUCGUCGUCGUCGGUGAGGCGCGCUAACCCUAAACAACAACGAUUUUCGACCUGAGAUCAGACGACAUCACCCGCUG
rnacentral:rRNA from 1 species